rnacentral:rRNA from 1 species
AUGGUGGCUGAUUAUAUUGAGCAAUUCCAACUUGUUAUUAAUCAUUUGGCUUCAUAUUCUGAUGCAAUUCACCCUUACUUCUACCUUACUCGUUUUGUGGAGGGGCUCCGCGCCGAUAUCCGGGCGGUGGUGCUGGUGCAGCGACCGCCCGAUCUGGACACUGCCUGCUCCCUCGUGCUUCUUCAGGAGGAGGUAGCAGGGGGUGCAUCAUCCACUUCCGCACUCGCCGGCGCCGCGCUCUCUGGACAUGGGGCAGUGCUCUGGGCUUUACCAUUGCCUCCACCCCCAUCGCGACCAAGCGCUGCCGUGCCAGCACCAGCGGCCAAUGACAGGCGCGGCAUCGAGGGCGCUCGUGCCGACACCAACAAAGUGAAAGCUCUCCGGGAAUAUCGCCGCGCCCGCGGUCUCCGUUUUAAGUGCGGCGAGCGGUGGGGGCAAGAUCAUACGUGCCCUGCCACGGUGCAGCUGCACGUGGUAGAGGAACUCCUGGAGCUUUUUGGUCUCGACUCCGUCUUCGAUGGCGAGCAGCAGCCUCCGGCCGAAGCAGUGAUGGCCAUCUCCAAGCACGCGCUCACUAGUGACAAGUCGCCCAAGGCAUUUCAGCUCCAUGCGUGGCUGCAGGGGCACGAGAUCCUCAUGCUGGUGGAUUCCGGCAGUUCUACAUCGUUUGUCGACGCCCAGUUGGCUACCCAGCUGACGGGGGUCACGCCGCUGGCCCGUGCGGGGCGCGUCAAGGUUGCUGGUGGCGGUGAAUUGCAGUGCACAUCAACUAUCCAUAACUGCAAGUGGGCUUCGCAAGGGCAUGAAUUCACCACCGAUUUCAAAGUUCUUCCUCUGGGAAUGUAUGACACAAUUCUGGGAAUGGAUUGGCUUGAGGAGCACAGCCCGAUGACGGUGGACUGGAAAGGCAAGCAUAUCUCAAUUCCGGAGGCAGCAUGCAUUGUUCAUCUCCAUGGGCAUCCAUCUACACCUUCUUGCGAAGUCAUUAACAGCAUGCAGUUGAACAACUUGUGUCGCCAAGGGGCUGUCUCGCAUAUGGUGCAAUUGUACCAAGUGACUCUAGGGACGGGGGAGGAGCAAGAGGUCACACCUGAGUGUAUCCAUGCUGUUCUGGAGCAGUAUUCAGAUGUGUUUGGUGAGCCAACAGGGCUGCCUCCGAAGCGCAGUUGUGAUCAUCAUAUUCCUUUAGUACCCGGUGCUCAGCCUGUCAACAUUCGGCCGUAUCGACACAAGCCGGAGCACAAGACUGAGAUCGAGGAACAAGUGGCUGAAUUGCUUAGGCAGAGAGUGAUCAGACGCAGCUCAAGCCCGUUUGCUUCGCCAGUUAUCUUGGUUAAGAAGAAAGAUGGCACGUGGCGUCUAUGUAUUGACUAUCGUCAUCUCAAUGCCAUGACAUCAGUUGCUAAAUUUCCAGUUCCAGUGAUUGAAGAAUUGCUCGAUGAACUUCACGGAACAGUAUGGUUCUCUAAGCUCGACCUUCGAGCAGGGUAUUACCAGAUCAGGAUCGCCGAGGGCGACGAGUACAAGACUGACUUCCAGACCCAUUCGGGACACUUUGAAUUCCUGGUGCUUUCAAUGGGACUAGCAGGGGGUCCAUCCACCUUCAACGGCGCGAUGAUUGAUACUAUGCAUCCUCUGCUCCGCAAGUGUGUUUUGCUGUUCUUUGACGAUAUCCUAGUCUUCAGCCGCACGCUAGAAGAUCAUAUAGCUCACCUUAAGCAAGUUUUCCAGCUCCUGCGAAGAGAUCAGUGGAAGAUCAAGGCUUCUAAAUGUUGCUUUGGCCAGCAGAAGCUGUCUUAUUUGGGGCACGUCAUCAGUGCGGAAGGGGUUGCCACGGAUCCUGGCAAGAUUCAAGCCGUGACGCAAUGGCCUACACCGACUAAUGCUAAAGAGGUCCGGCGAUUCCUCGGGCUUGCCGGUUAUUACCAUCGCUUCGUCCGCCAUUUUGGCAUCAUCGCACGUCCAUUGUUCAACCUGCUCAAGAAGGGAGCACCGUUUGUUUGGACGCAGGCAACAUAA